UCUCCAAAUGCUCAGUUCAGAGAGAUAAUUGUGUGUCAAAGCCGAACUUCACCUAGCUUGUUGGGAACACAAAGUUUCUUUUCAGUUGCAAACUCCACUCCAUACAUAUAUAUGGGGAGGUACUAGCUCCAGCUCAGUUAUACAGUGAAAACUGGAUGAACAUAAAACCGGCACUAGCAAACAGUCUGAGAA